CACGUAGGCACCAAGCGUUGUCCGGAUUUAUUGGGCGUAAAGAGCUCGUAGGCGGUUUGGUAAGUCGGGUGUGAAAACUCUGGGCUCAACCCAGAGAGGCCACUCGAUACUGCUAUGACUUGAGUACGGUAGGGGAGUGGGGAAUUUCUAGUGUAGCGGUGAAAUGCGCAGAUAUUAGAAGGAACACCAGUGGCGAAGGCGCCACUCUGGGCCGUAACUGACGCUGAGGAGCGAAGGCAUGGGUAGCAAACAGG
rnacentral:rRNA from 1 species